rnacentral:rRNA from 1 species
UACGAAGGGGGCUAGCGUUGCUCGGAAUCACUGGGCGUAAAGGGUGCGUAGGCGGGUCUUUAAGUCAGGGGUGAAAUCCUGGAGCUCAACUCCAGAACUGCCUUUGAUACUGAGGAUCUUGAGUUCGGGAGAGGUGAGUGGAACUGCGAGUGUAGAGGUGAAAUUCGUAGAUAUUCGCAAGAACACCAGUGGCGAAGGCGGCUCACUACGGGAUUAUUGACACUGAGGCACGAAAGCGUGGGGAUCAAACAGG